AAGUCGUAACAAGGUUUCCGUAGGUGAACCUGCGGAAGGAUCAUUAAUGAAAUUAUGACUGGGGUUGUAGCUGGCCUAUAAAACGGCAUGUGCACGCUCCUUUCACAAUCCACACACACCUGUGCACCUUCGCGGGGGUCUUUUUUUCUCUUCGGGGGGAUAAAGGCUCGCGUCCCUUUACACACCCUUUGUAUGUCUUAAGAAUGUCUACUCGAUGUAAUAAAACGCAUCUAAUACAACUUUCAACAACGGAUCUCUUGGCUCUC
rnacentral:misc_RNA from 1 species